UCAGUUGCAAUCUAGCAUCUGGGGCUCACAUACGAGUAUUUAAUUACUCUACAACUGCCCCGGGAAGGUCUGAGAUAUGGUCAGCAGUUCAUUUAAAACAUCAGGUUGUGUGAUGUUUGAACUUGUUAAUUUCCUAGCAGGAAACUUGUAUAAUUAAAAGUCAAAAGUACAAGAAAUUCUGUAUUUUUUUAAUAUAAAAAUACAUUGGAAUCUUUUGUGACCAGCUGUUUAAGUGCAAUAUGCUUGCUGUUUUCCAAAUUAAAGCAGAACUCAAUUCAGACUAAUCUGUGACUGA
rnacentral:RNase_P_RNA from 2 species